AUUCGAGGUAGACGCAGAGAACUGAAACAUCUUAGUACCUGCAGGAAGAGAAAGAAAAUUCGAUUCCCUGAGUAGCGGCGAGCGAAACGGGAAGAGCCCAAACCAACAAGCUUGCUUGUUGGGGUUGUAGGACUCCAAUAUGGUAGUCUGUUAGUAUAGUUGAAGGAUUUGGAAAAUUCCGCUAAAGAGGGUGAAAGCCCCGUAGACGAAAUGCUAACAACA
rnacentral:rRNA from 1 species